rnacentral:rRNA from 1 species
GAAUAUUGCACAAUGGGCGAAAGCCUGAUGCAGCAACGCCGCGUGAGCGAUGAAGGCCUUCGGGUCGUAAAGCUCUGUCCUCAAGGAAGAUAAUGACGGUACUUGAGGAGGAAGCCCCGGCUAACUACGUGCCAGCAGCCGCGGUAAUACGUAGGGGGCUAGCGUUAUCCGGAAUUACUGGGCGUAAAGGGUGCGUAGGCGGUCUUUCAAGCCAGAAGUGAAAGGCUACGGCUCAACCGUAGUAAGCUUUUGGAACUGUAAGACUUGAGUGCAGGAGAGGAGAGUGGAAUUCCUAGUGUAGCGGUGAAAUGCGUAGAUAUUAGGAGGAACACCAGUAGCGAAGGCGGCUCUCUGGACUGUAACUGACGCUGAGGAGCGAAAGCAUGGGGAGCGAACA